rnacentral:rRNA from 1 species
AGAGUUUGAUCAUGGCUCAGAUUGAACGCUGGCGGCAGGCCUAACACAUGCAAGUCGAACGGUAACAGGAAGAAGCUUGCUUCUUUGCUGACGAGUGGCGGACGGGUGAGUAAUGUCUGGGAAACUGCCUGAUGGAGGGGGAUAACUACUGGAAACGGUAGCUAAUACCGCAUAACGUCGCAAGACCAAUGAGGGGGACCUUCGGGCCUCUUGCCAUCGGAUGUGCCCAGAUGGGAUUAGCUAGUAGGUGGGGUAACGGCUCACCUAGGCGACGAUCCCUAGCUGGUCUGAGAGGAUGACCAGCCACACUGGAACUGAGACACGGUCCAGACUCCUACGGGAGGCAGCAGUGGGGAAUAUUGCACAAUGGGCGCAAGCCUGAUGCAGCCAUGCCGCGUGUAUGAAGAAGGCCUUCGGGUUGUAAAGUACUUUCAGCGGGGAGGAAGGGAGUAAAGUUAAUACCUUUACUCAUUGACGUUACCCGCAGAAGAAGCACCGGCUAACUCCGUGCCAGCAGCCGCGGUAAUACGGAGGGUGCAAGCGUUAAUCGGAAUUACUGGGCGUAAAGCGCACGCAGGCGGUUUGUUAAGUCAGAUGUGAAAUCCCCGGGCUCAACCUGGGAACUGCAUCUGAUGCUGGCAAGCUUGAGUCUCGUAGAGGGGGGUAGAAUUCCAGGUGUAGCGGUGAAAUGCGUAGAGAUCUGGAGGAAUACCGGUGGCGAAGGCGGCCCCCUGGACGAAGACUGACGCUCAGGUGCGAAAGCGUGGGGAGCAAACAGGAUUAGAUACCCCGGUAGUCCACGCCGUAAACGAUGUCGACUUGGAGGUUGUGCCCUUGAGGCGUGGCUUCCGGAGCU